rnacentral:tRNA from 1 species
UCCGAAUUAGCUCAGUGGUAGAGUAGGUGGCUGUUAACCACUUGGUCGCUGGUUCGAAUCCAGCAUUCGGAGCCA